rnacentral:lncRNA from 1 species
CCCACAUGGCGGUCACCACCGAUCUGUCGCCAGAGCUGCAGCUCAACGAGAACGAUGGCUUCUGAGUGGCAGUUCUGAAAACCAAAAACACAAUUAACAUAUUGGUUUAUAGGCACAACUCCACAAAGGUAAGCGCUGAAUGGGUUUAUGUUUUUUGUGCUCUUAAACCAUUAUUUUUGCGGCCUUCAGUCGUCCUCUACACAAAAACAAACUACAAUGCAAAAAGUCCAGAUGUGAAUGGGAUAAACUUGAAUACACCACGAAUUACUAACUAGAAUUACACACACCAAAGGACAUGAAGGACGACUAAGAGCUGUGCCUAUGGCUGAACACAAACAAACAAAGAGACUGAGAGCUGUACCAAAAACUGAACACAAACUCGCAAGGUAAUUCGUUGGCUCGUUGCUUUUCCUUUGCUGUACUUUAAAUAAUUUGUUUUGACAGCUCGGCAGGUAAAAUGUAAUCGGGUCUGAAGGCUGCCAACAUUUUACAUGCUGCACUAUUAUAUGUGUAAAACACUCCAACGACACACAUUCUCUGUGUACUUAUAUUCAUUCAAUUAAACAAACAUUUAUACUCUCACUCUCGAUGGAGAAACACUCGUACGUCAAUAUUCAUCUGUAUCUGUAUCUGAAUCUGAAUCUGAAUCGUUCUCAAUCAAGCAUCAACUAAAACAUGC